rnacentral:rRNA from 1 species
GUAGGUGGCAAGCGUUGUCCGGAAUUAUUGGGCGUAAAGCGCGCGCAGGCGGUCCUUUAAGUCUGAUGUGAAAGCCCACGGCUCAACCGUGGAGGGUCAUUGGAAACUGGGGGACUUGAGUACAGAAGAGGAAAGCGGAAUUCCAAGUGUAGCGGUGAAAUGCGUAGAGAUUUGGAGGAACACCAGUGGCGAAGGCGGCUUUCUGGUCUGUAACUGACGCUGAGGCGCGAAAGCGUGGGGAGCAAACAGGAUUAGAUACCCUGGUAGUCCACGCCGUAAACGAUGAGUGCUAAGUGUUAGGGGGUUUCCCGCCCCCUUAGUGCUGCAGCUAACGCAUUAAGCACUCCGCCUGGGGGAGUACGGCCGCAAGGCUG